UCUAGCAAGAAGAAGGAAAUUAGCUGUAAUAAGCCGCUGUUGCCUCACCCAAAAGCCUCCAACGCAGACCCUCGGAGGGACUCCUGGCUCUUUUCUUCUGUUCUCCCGCCUUUCCAGUCACCUGCCGUCACGGGUAGUGGCCUCCUCCACACCCAAUCCUGUGACAUCACUGAUGGGAAUUAUCAAGAUCCCUGGGGCUGUGAGGAGGAGGAGGAGGAAGCCACAGGCACUCAAAGAAGCUGUCCCUGGCCUCUCCCUGAGCCAUUAGUUUGAAUGGUGGUAGGAGAAGCAGGAUUUACCAGAUUGUUUCCCCUGGGGGAGACCACAGGAUGUCAUGGAAAAGAGCCUAGAGGAGGAGCCUGACUGCUCGAAGUGGAAGCCUGGCUCAGCCGCUUACCAGCUGUGUGACCCUGAGCAUGCUCUUGAACCUCUCUGUGCCUCAGUUUCCUCAUCUAUGACGCCUCUGCUGCUAACGCUGCCAGGGUUGCUGCCUGGAAGGAGUUCUGAAGCACCCCUCCUUGCUUUCCUCAACUGGCCCACAUCUUUGCAAAUAACCUCUUCGUAGACUCUCCUCAGUGGUUUGAAGGAACCAUCUGUCUCCUGCCAGGACCCAGAUGAACACAAACAGCCUGAGCUAAGCUUUAGCUUAGCCUUCCAGGCCCCUCAAAACAACGCCCUCCAGCCCCCUCAAAACAACUCUGUGUGAAGGGCUGUUGUUAGCUCUAUUUACAGAGAAGGUAACUGGAGAUUCAACUUGCCCAAAGCUGAGGGAGUGGCACAAUUAGAACCCAGUCUGUCAGUCAACAGGAUAAA